ACGUAAUAGAUACCCGGGUAGUCCAUGCCGUAAACGUUGGGCACUAGGUGUGGGGGACAUUCCACGUUUCCCGCGCCGUAGCUAAACGCAUUAAAGUGCCCCGCCUGGGGAGUACGGCCGCAAGGCUAAAACUCAAAGGAAUUGACGGGGGCCCGCACAAGCGGCGGAGCAUGCGGAUUAAUUCGAUGCAACGCGAAGAACCUUACCAAGGCUCGACAUGAACCAGACCGGGCUGGAAACAGUCCUUCCCCUUGUGGGUUGGUUUACAGGUGGUGCAUGGUUGUCGUCAGCUCGUGUCGUGAGAUGUUGGGUUAAGUCCCGCAACGAGCGCAACCCUCGUUCUAUGUUGCCAGCACGUGAUGGUGGGGACUCAUAGGAGACUGCCGGGGUCAACUCGGAGGAAGGUGGGGACGACGUCAAAUCAUCAUGCCCCUUAUGUCUUGGGCUUCACGCAUGCUACAAUGGCCGGUACAAAGGGUUGCGAUACUGUGAGGUGGAGCUAAUCCCAAAAAGCCGGUCUCAGUUCGGAUUGGGGGUCUGCAACUCGACCCCAUGAA
rnacentral:rRNA from 1 species